GUCUGACGGAGCAACGCCGCGUGAGUGAUGAAGGUUUUCGGAUCGUAAAGCUCUGUUGUUAGGGAAGAACAAGUACCGUUCGAAUAGGGCGGUACCUUGACGGUACCUAACCAGAAAGCCACGGCUAACUACGUGCCAGCAGCCGCGGUAAUACGUAGGUGGCAAGCGUUGUCCGGAAUUAUUGGGCGUAAAGGGCUCGCAGGCGGUUCCUUAAGUCUGAUGUGAAAGCCCCCGGCUCAACCGGGGAGGGUCAUUGGAAACUGGGGAACUUGAGUGCAGAAGAGGAGAGUGGAAUUCCACGUGUAGCGGUGAAAUGCGUAGAGAUGUGGAGGAACACCAGUGGCGAAGGCGACUCUCUGGUCUGUAACUGACGCUGAGGAGCGAAAGCGUGGGGAGCGAACAGGAUUAGAUA
rnacentral:rRNA from 2 species